rnacentral:piRNA from 1 species
AAAGAGAAGAAAGAUAAAGUAGA